GGGCAUAUGGUGUAGCUGGUUAUCACAUCCGCUUAGCAUGACGCAAAAUGCGGGGGGUCUCCGGUUCGAGUCCGGAUUUGUCCA